rnacentral:lncRNA from 1 species
UGUAAAUGCUCUUGUCCAUGGGUCUCAGGGGUUCCUUAUGAAUCAGGCCCCGCCAGACUUAGUGCCAAUCACGUGGCUCUUUAGAUAAGACCUGGCAGCUCCUACAACGGAGCAUUUUAAGAGCUCUCUGAUGCUGCAAAUGCUUCACCAGAGCCUCGCCACGGGAAAGCUCCCUCCUGCCAGUGAGCCUGUCCUCAGAUCCUGGGCACUGGGAAGCUGGAUCCUGCUGUUAGGCCACCUCAUGUCACCUGGAACCACUAAUGAGCUGGGAACCAUUAUUAAGUCAAGUUUCAGCUCCGGCAUGUGAAGAGCUUGGAAAUUGUCACUCCCGUCCUUAAUGACAAGAAGAAGUGGAACAAACUAAAAAUCAAUGACUUUUCUCAGACUGCUCAGAGAACUGAAGUUGCCAGGCAAACUGCUACCUUAAAAUCUGGAGAGACAGGCAAAUCCAGAGAGUCACAGCUGAGAUCUUCUUAUCUGAACCUGAGGCCACUGGAGCCAUAAAUGGAUAGAAACACUUACAUGGCAAUUUUGAAGAAUUUCUGGAGGCUGAGUGGGGACUCCCCUCAGAGGGAGAAACUCUUGUACUGAGUGAUUACAGCAUAUAGAGAAGUGAAAUGAAUGACAGCAAUGUCAUAUGGGAUGAGAGGAACAAAUUGGGGAUAUACCAUGAUAAGUUACCCAGACUACAUGGGAAGCGGUAUAGUGUUAUUUCAAGGUGGACUUGGAGUAGUUAAAAAUGUAUAUUGGAAGCUCUAGGGCAACCACUAAAAAAUUUUUUAAAAGAAGUAUAAUUGAUAUAUUAAGAGAGGAGAUAAGAUGGAAUCGUAUCAAAUGCUCAUCUAAAAACAGAGAGGGCAGAAAAAGAGAGAGAAAAGGAAAAGAACAAAUGUAACAAACAGAAAACGGUAGAACAGUUACAAAUGUGAUCAAUAGCUAUCCAACUCUAUCAAUAAUCACUUUACAUGUGAAAGGUCUACCUUAACUUAAUUACAUCUGCAAAGACUUUUUUCCCAAAUAAAGUCACAUUCACAGGUUGUGGGGGUUAGGUC